GACGAACCGUGCGAACGUUGUUCGGAAUCACUGGGCUUAAAGGGCGCGUAGGCGGCUUCGCAAGUCCGGGUGAAAGCCCCCAGCUCAACUGGGGAAGUGCCUUGGAUACUGCGGGGCUCGAGGGAGGUAGGGGUGCGUGGAACUUCCGGUGGAGCGGUGAAAUGCGUUGAUAUCGGAAGGAACGCCGGUGGCGAAAGACGGC
rnacentral:rRNA from 1 species